rnacentral:rRNA from 1 species
UACGGGGGGGGCAAGCGUUGUUCGGAAUUACUGGGCGUAAAGGGCUCGUAGGCGGCCAACUAAGUCAGACGUGAAAUCCCUCGGCUUAACCGGGGAACUGCAUCUGAUACUGGAUGGCUUGAGUUCGGGAGAGGGAUGCGGAAUUCCAGGUGUAGCGGUGAAAUGCGUAGAUAUCUGGAGGAACACCGGUGGCGAAGGCGGCAUCCUGGACCGGCAUUGACGCUGAGGCGCGAAAGCGUGGGGAGCAAACAGG